rnacentral:rRNA from 1 species
GGCUCUCUGUUUACAUAAAUAUAGGGAGUCGAGCCUGCCCAGUGAAUUUUUAAACGGCCGCGGUACUCUGACCGUGCAAAGGUAGCAUAAUCAUUUGCCUUAUAAUUGAAGGCUGGUAUGAAUGGUUUGACGAGAGCAACACUGUCUCCUUUUUAUUUUCAAGAACUUAACUUUUAGGUGAAGAGGCCUAAAUUUUAUUGAAGGACAAGAAGACCCUAUCGAGCUUAAAAGACAUUAUAGAAGUUUAUAUAUCUCUAAAUAAAUUUUCUAUUGAGCUUUUUAGUUGGGGCGACUAAGGAACAAAAAAAGCUUCUUGCUAAUAAUAGACAGUCAUGUUUAGAUCCGAUAAUAAUCGAUCAAAGAAAUUAGUUACCGUAGGGAUAACAGCAUAAUCUCUCUUGAGAGACCUAAUCGAAAGAGGGGGUUGUGACCUCGAUGUUGGACUAGAAUAUCCCAAAGAUGCAGAAGUCUUUGAAGGUCGGUCUGUUCGACCGUUAAAAUUCU